rnacentral:rRNA from 1 species
GACAUCAGGAGGUUAGUGCAAUGGCAUAAGCCAGCUUGACUGCGAGCGUGACGGCGCGAGCAGGUGCGAAAGCAGGUCAUAGUGAUCCGGUGGUUCUGAAUGGAAGGGCCAUCGCUCAACGGAUAAAAGGUACUCCGGGGAUAACAGGCUGAUACCGCCCAAGAGUUCAUAUCGACGGCGGUGUUUGGCACCUCGAUGUCGGCUCAUCACAUCCUGGGGCUGAAGUAGGUCCCAAGGGUAUGGCUGUUCGCCAUUUAAAGUGGUACGCGAGCUGGGUUUAGAACGUCGUGAGACAGUUCGGUCCCUAUCUGCCGUGGGCGCUGGAGAACUGAGGGGGGCUGCUCCUAGUACGAGAGGACCGGAGUGGACGCAUCACUGGUGUUCGGGUUGUCAUGCCAAUGGCACUGCCCGGUAGCUAAAUGCGGAAGAGAUAAGUGCUGAAAGCAUCUAAGCACGAAACUUGCCCCGAGAUGAGUUCUCCCUGACCCUUUAAGGGUCCUGAAGGAACGUUGAAGACGACGACGUUGAUAGGCCGGGUGUGUAAGCGCAGCGAUGCGUUGAGCUAACCGGUACUAAUGAACCGUGAGGCUUAACCUUACAACGCCGAAGGUGUUU